rnacentral:rRNA from 1 species
AUUGAACGCUAGCGGCAUGCUUACACAUGCAAGUCGAACGAGUGGCGGACGGGUGAGUAAUAUAUCGGAACGUGCCCGGUGGAGGGGGAUAACUACUGGAACGAGUGCUAUACCGCAUACCCUUGGAGCGGCCGAUAUGGGAUUAGCUAGUUGGGGGGGUAAAGGCUCAACAAGGCAACGAUCCGUAGCUGGUUUGAGAGGACGACCAGCCACACUGGGACUGAGACACGGCCCAGACUCCUACGGGAGGCAGCAGUGGGGAAUUUUGGACAAUGGGGGAAAGCCUGAUGCAGCCAUCCCGCGUGUAUGAUGAAGGCUUCGGGUUGUAAAGUACUUUUGGCAGGGAAGCGGUACCUACAGAAUAAGCACCGGCUAACUACGUGCCAGCAGCCGCGGUAAUUC